UACAGAGGGUGCAAGCGUUAAUCGGAAUUACUGGGCGUAAAGCGCGCGUAGGUGGUUUGUUAAGUUGGAUGUGAAAGCCCCGGGCUCAACCUGGGAACUGCAUUCAAAACUGACAAGCUAGAGUAUGGUAGAGGGUGGUGGAAUUUCCUGUGUAGCGGUGAAAUGCGUAGAUAUAGGAAGGAACGCCAAAAGCGAAGGCGACCACCUGGACUGAUACUGACACUGAGGUGCGAAAGCGUGGGGAGCAAACAGG
rnacentral:rRNA from 1 species